UUGGCUGUGAUGAUUAUAAAAAAAUCAUUGUUCUGAAUGCUAUAGCCAUGGCUUGACAGACUCAUUUACACCCAUAGAAUAUGAGCACC